AUGCUAGCAUUGCUACAAGUAAUCACAGCGGAAAUGACUCAUUGGGGGCGAUGCCCACGACCCCACGUGUCCUGUAGGAACAGUAGGAGGAAAGUGUGUCGUGGAUUGAGCAGCACCGCCUCAUUUUGUGUCGACGGAGACGGUGGUCUUCAUGGAUGGUGUCGCCGCUCGGCUUGGUGGCUGGGAUCGGCAUCGGGCAUCGGCGGCGCCAAAGGUGGUUGCUGUCACUGGUGGGGAAACAAGAAACUCCGAUUAGCAAGUGAAGAACUAAAUGUAAUGGAGCUGAAGAGAAUGGGGGGGCAAAGUUCUAAAACGAUGAAGCAUCACACUUAUCCAGAGAUGAGACUGUUUGAUCAUGUUAUCUUCAAUUUUCCUCAUGCUUGA
rnacentral:rRNA from 1 species